AGCACGGAUCCAAGUACCGAGCCUUGUGGGACUCAACUGCCCGCAUAUUUCCAGGUCGAUACUGACCUGUCCAAGGAACUGGGAACUCAGCUAACUUCUUCCAAAAGGUGACUGCCAACUACUUAUCAUUUGAGUUCCCAGCAAUAACACCCUACAAAUGAUCUUCAUCUGCAGAUAUAGAACCACAGACUGCAUCUCAGGCUUCCCCUGUAGCAAGAUUUAAAAAACAACACGGAAUACAAAGUCUAAAGAAACUUCGGAGAAAAACAUCCACGUUACAUUUUACAUGACUGAGAAAUCUAUUUCAGACA